rnacentral:rRNA from 1 species
GGAAUAUUGGACAAUGGGCGAAAGCCUGAUCCAGCAAUGCCGCGUGAGUGAUGAAGGCCUUAGGGUUGUAAAGCUCUUUUACCCGGGAUGAUAAUGACAGUACCGGGAGAAUAAGCUCCGGCUAACUCCGUGCCAGCAGCCGCGGUACUACGGAGGGCGCUAGCGUUGUUCGGAAUUACUGGGCGUAAAGCGCGAGUAGGCGGCUUUGCAAGUUAGAGGUGAAAGCCCGGAGCUCAACUCCGGAAUUGCCUUUAAAACUGCAUCGCUUGAAUCCGGGAGAGGUGAGUGGAAUUCCGAGUGUAGAGGUGAAAUUCGUAGAUAUUCGGAAGAACACCAGUGGCGAAGGCGGCUCACUGGACCGGUAUUGACGCUGAGGCGCGAAAGCGUGGGGAGCAA